AAACUUGCCUCAAGAUGAGAUCUCACUGGGAACUUGAUUCCCCUGAAGGGCCGUCGAAGACUACGACGUUGAUAGGCUGGGUGUGUAAGCGUUGUGAGGCGUUGAGCUAACCAGUACUAAUUGCCCGUGAGGCUUGACCAUAUAACACCCAAACA
rnacentral:rRNA from 1 species